ACACAGAGACGCCCAGAUGA
rnacentral:misc_RNA from 1 species